UUCCUUCAGUUUCCUUACUCAUCAGACCUAAAUAUUGGUCUCAGUGUCUAAAACAUAAAAGGAGGAAAAGUAAAACUGGAAAAAUACUUGGAUUCUUUAGUGACGA
rnacentral:snoRNA from 1 species